UGGUUCAUCGUUUUUGAUUUUCCCAAAGAUAACAAACCUACUCCUGAAGAAAUGAUUCGUUUGUAUGAAGAAACUUGUGCUAAGGGUCUCAAUAUCAGAGUGGAAGAGGCGAAGAAGAAGAUUUAUGCUUGCAAAACAACCACUUACCCUGGAUUUCAAGCUGUUAUGACUGAAGAAGAGUCCAAGAAAUUUGAAGGUAUGCCCGGAGUUAUCCAUGUGUUGCCGGAUUAUAACACUGCCCUUGUAAACAAGCAGAGCUAUC